rnacentral:lncRNA from 1 species
AUGGGCUGCUCUAACCCAGAAGUGGUCACCUGCUCCCGCUCCCACCAGGGCUUCAAGCACCGGUUCUGCCUUAAAACAGAAAGCGGUGAGUGUGCCCGUGGCCUCGGCGAGCCGGCGGAGCGCGUGCACCCGAAAGCCAACCCUGCGGCCGCCGCAGCGGGCACGGCCGUGGCUUGGGGCUCCCAGGGUGGCCCCAGCCACGGUCGCCGCGGCCCUGACGGCGCUGUGUUGCCUUGCAGUGGUCCUGGGCAUCCCGCUGACCAGCGGCUGCGCCACCUCCCGCCACUGCCAGCAGCAGGAGCUGCCGGGGGUGCGGAUCCACUGCUGCGACACGGACCUGUGCAACGGCUCGCCCAGGGCGCCCCGGCCUCCCCGCGGCCUCGCCGGCCGCUGCCUCCUGCUCGCGCCCCUCCUGGCCGCCCUCCUCCUCUUCUGAGCGGCCCCGGGGCCGGGGGGCUGGCGCGAGCGCGGCGCGGCUCCCCCGCGCCCGGAGAGCCUCCUCCUCGCCCCUCUCCUCGAUCAAAGACGCCGAACCUUUGCGCUGCACAGGCCCCGCUCCCAGCGGCGUCCCCGGAGGUAGGACACGCGUGUCCGUGGCGGCGCGGGGGGCUGCACUGCCCGAUGCCACGUGCAGCCGCUCCAAAGCCACGUGCUGCGGCUUUGCUCUUCCGCAAUGGGGACCCGGCGCCGCUCGGCCCCUCCGGCUGCUCCCUUGCCAAACCCGAGAGGUGCCGAGCCCCCGCGGCCGGACCCGGGGUGCAGCGAGGGCCUGGCGGGUCCCCCAGUGGGUGCCACGGCGGGGACCCCGGCUCCUCCGGCCGAGCGAGGCUCUUCCCACGAGAGGGCAUCCUUGGUCCUCGCUGCGCAGCUCCCUCCUGCCCUGCAAGGCGGCAGCAGCCCGCGAGCGGCCGGGACUCCCAGCCGCGGCCUUCGUCCUCCUCCUCAUCCCAGGUGGGCUCGAAGGAGCUGCUGCCGCUUCCCAGCAGCGAAGAGACCACGGUCCGGGCAGCGCCGAGCCCCGGGCGACCCGCGGGCGACGCACCGAGACCGCGGUGUCCUGGGGAGAGGGGAGCUUCCCGGGCACUGCCCCGAUUUAAGAGCCCGAGCGGGAGCUUUAACGAAGCUCUAAUCACGUACGAAGCUGAUCCUAAGUGGUUUGCUCGAGGUCAUCGUGGGGGUUUGCAGGAGAGCUGGGAAUUAAAUGCAUAUGUCUCAAGAUCCAGCCGUGUGCUUUUAUCACCAGGGAAACAGCAUAAACCUCACUGGCGAGAAAUGAAUGAAAUAUUUUUAUUCCAAACUUUAUUUAGGUAA